rnacentral:rRNA from 1 species
GUCCCAAGCGUUGUUCGGAUUCACUGGGCGUAAAGGGUGCGUAGGCGGUCGGGUAAGUCUGAUGUGAAAUCUCACAGCUUAACUGUGAAACUGCAUUGGAUACUAUCCGGCUCGAGGAAUGGAGGGGAGACUGGAAUACUUGGUGUAGCAGUGAAAUGCGUAGAUAUCAAGUGGAACACCAGUGGCGAAGGCGAGUCUCUGGACAUUUCCUGACGCUGAGGCACGAAAGCCAGGGGAGCAAACGGG